CCUACGGGAGGCAGCAGUAGGGAAUCUUCCACAAUGGACGAAAGUCUGAUGGAGCAACGCCGCGUGAGUGAAGAAGGGUUUCGGCUCGUAAAGCUCUGUUGGUAGUGAAGAAAGAUAGAGGUAGUAACUGGCCUUUAUUUGACGGUAAUUACUUAGAAAGUCACGGCUAACUACGUGCCAGCAGCCGCGGUAAUACGUAGGUGG
rnacentral:rRNA from 1 species